GACGAACGCUGGCGGCGUGCCUAAUACAUGCAAGUAGAACGCAGUUGAGAACGGGUGAGUAACGCUUAGGUAACUGCCUUAUAGUGGGGGAUAAAUAUUGGAAACGAUAGCUAAUACCGCAUACUGUGAGAUGGACCUGCGUUGUAUUAGCUAGUUGGUGAGGUAAAGGCUCACCAAGGCGACGAUACAUAGCCGACCUGAGAGGGGGAUGCGCCAAAACGGGACCGGGACAAGGCCCCAACCUCUAAGGGGGGGAGGAGGAGGGAAUCUUCGGGAAAGGACGGAAGGCUGGACCGGGAAAGCCGGCGGAGGGAAAGAGGGUUUCGGAAUCGAAAGCCCUGGUGUUUGAGAAGCGGUAACUAACCAGAAAGGGACGGCUAACUACGUGCCAGCAGCCGCGGUAAUAC
rnacentral:rRNA from 1 species